rnacentral:pre_miRNA from 1 species
AAUGGCACUGGUAGAAUUCACGGUGUAAACCUUGUGUUCCGUGGUCUUCCGGUGUCAUACA